rnacentral:rRNA from 1 species
UAGGUAGCUUAACCUUCAGGAGGGCGCUUACCACUUUGUGAUUCAUGACUGGGGUGAAGUCGUAACAAGGUAACCGUAGGGGAACCUGCGGUUGGAUCACCUCCUUA